CUAAACAGGCAAUGAACUAUGGUUUUUGAAAUGGGAUCACUAUUGUAAUGCAGGAAGACAGCAGCCAAUUUGUGCACAGCAACCUCCAACAACAUCACAACGACCAGUAAUCUGGUUUAUUGAUGUUGACGAAUGGACUAUAUAGAUUAGGACAUCAGGGAGAUUACCCUUACUCCUCCACAGGAUUUGCACCUGUCCGGCCUUAUUAGGAGCUGAAAGACAACACUCCUGACUGUGUGGCAUUUCCUCAGUACGUUUUUACCUUUCACGCUCAAUUGAACCUUCAGGCUCAGAGGCAAGUGUGUGCCCAAAACUCUGACAACAAUGGCAUGGCAAUGAUAGGGAUUGUCAGCACUGGAGGCAAGCUUUGGAAGAGCACCAAUAUCUCCAGACAUUUUUGGUCUGGAGGAGAUUACAGAGAGAGAGAGGGAUUGCAAAAUACAGUGGAGAAUUUUAAAAUAGAAUCUUAGCUUGGUUUAAUGGGACAGCUGAGAGAGAGAGUGUGUGUGUGUUAUUGAAGCAGACAGAGGGGAGAGGGAAUAUCAGGUAGGGGAGAAUCACAUGAUCUCUCCCUAGGCUACUGCUGUGUGUGGUGCCAUUAUGCUCUGCUGCCCAGUAUUAUCAUGGUGUUAAGAAGCCAGCCACAUUGUUACAAAAGUGUUUGAAGACCUGCCGAGGAAACCAGGAGGAGAUUGUGGGUGUGAAGAGCUUCUAGCCUUUCUCUGCUGAAACCCGAGAACCUGAACAAGAAUCAUUUAUAAACCGUUAAGCAGCAAUGGUAUAAAUAGCACGUUUGCAAAUAGCACGAGACUUGAUGUCACUUGUUCACUGGCCAUUUAUGUCGCCGUAAUUUUGUUGGGCCUGAAGGUUUCCGAUUUCAGCUGCUUGCAUCUGCCCUGUGUUUGUCCAGUAUCUCAUCAAAUACAGCUCGCCACACUCACUGUUUGGAGAAAUCUUUAAUGUUGGCAAGAAUUGAAAUUAACAGUCGUGUUUGACAGGGAGCCAUGGUUAAAUGUUUAAUCAAGAUUAAGACCAAAGUCAAUGUUCACCUUCGGAUGAUAAACCACUGUUACCGAGAUGUCAAAGUGCGGGUGCUCAGCCUCGGUCCCCGGAUUCUCAGCAAAGCUCUCGGUGCGUUGCCCAUUUUUCCCGCACUGACAGGGCCAAACCAGCAGGAGAGACAGCUUUCCAACACAUCGACUAUCUUACAAGACCCAGGUGCAGUUUAACCUUCUGUAGUGGGGAGCAAUUCAAUUCUGCAAACUCUCUUGACAAACUGUUCUGAAAACCACCAGGGAAAGUAUACGCUCAA